rnacentral:misc_RNA from 1 species
ACGUAGGUGCGGCUAUGCUACUAUGCGGCUUAUUCGGCGCGCACGAAGCGGCCGCGGUAAAGUGCGCUUGCUUUCAUUUUAACGUCUUAAGCAUUAAAUAUGCGUUACUCAAACUGUAGACUUCGGCACCAGUCAUCAUCCUUGCCUGACAUUGACCUGCCGCAUAACCAAGACACCGUUGUUGGCAGAAGUCGCAGCACUCAAAUUCGGAACAAGCGCUGCUCCAGAUGUCAAGUCAGACUACGAGCGGAUUUCAGCAAAGGCACGGUUCAGCUAACGCAGCUUGGAGAAAACCCAUGCCGGGUGUCUGGCCGGCGCCUUGCAGUAGGAGAGACGGUGACGGUGUGUGACGGUGAUCUACUGGAAUUGCUUGCGGAGGAACUGCCUUACGUGGUUGUGUUCGAGAAGUUUUCUAGUCUUGACACACCAUCGUCGGCUGCUGCAGCGGCCGAUUUUCCCAGUUGUGACGAAAAGCGCCCCUUGAAGCGUAAAUCUGAUGACGAGGACAUGCCACUAUCGAAGAAGCAUGUCUCGUCCGACACACAUGAUGAACAUGACGAGCAUGUGGAAGAAGUAUCUCGCAAGUUGAAACACAUGCAGAAUAGCUACAGAAAGCGUCACACCUCCGAAAAGUUGACGCAACAAAGUGAAACUAAUGUUUCACGUCAUCAUGCAAGUCCUGUGGCGCACCAAAGCAAGAGUGGAUGGACAGACUUGACAGAGCAUAAUGUUUUGAUGCUUAAUUCAGAAAAACUUGAACACAAACCCAAGAUUGCGGCAUUUGACCUUGAUGGAACUCUAAUCACUACCAAGUCUGGCAAGGUGUUUCCCGUUAACUCUGCUGAUUGGCGGAUACUGCUGUCGGCAACUGAGGCACGCCUACGUAGUCUUGUAGAAGAAGGCUACAAGAUUGUUAUCAUAACCAAUCAGAGAGGUCUGGCUAAGAGCCAGAGCCACGAAGCUGACUUCAAAAACAAGGUGGAGCGCAUCUUAAAGACAUUGGCUGUCCCGGCCCAAGUGUAUGUGUCUGUUGGCCACGGCUUCUAUCGCAAACCAGCACCAGGAAUAUGGCAUCAUUUAGAGUCUCAUGGAAAUGGAGGUAUCCCCAUCAAUUUGAAGGAGUCAUUUUACGUUGGAGAUGCUGCGGGGAGACCGGCAAACUGGGAACCAAAACGCAAAAAAGAUUUUUCAUGUUCAGACAGACUGUUUGCCCUCAACAUUGGGAUUAGGUUCUAUACUCCAGAAGAGUUCUUUUUGAAGAGACCUGCAGCUAAAUUUGAUCUCCCACAAUUCGACCCCCGUGCAGUGCCAGAUCUCCCUCUUGCUGAAGUAGUAGCAGCCACAAAGCCAUGUGAAGGCAAAUUCUUGAAUGGUGAUGAUCUUCCAGCAGAUCACACCGAGGUUGUGGUGCUCGUUGGAUAUCCUGCAUCUGGUAAAAGUCACUUUGCAAAGGAAUACCUUUUAUCAAAGCAGUACGCUCAUAUUAACCGUGAUAUGUUAAAGUCAGCACAGAAGUGUAUUGAGGAAUGUGAAAAGGCACUGAGGCGUGGUCAGAGUGCAGUGGUAGACAAUACUAACCCGGAUCCUGAGAGCCGGAAAAGUUUCGCGAGAUUAAGCUGAAAGGACAACCCCAUGUUUCUGUCACAGACAUGGUGCUGUACAACCAUCGGUCCAAGUUCAAAGAGCCAAGCUUAUCUGAAGGAUUCUCAGCCAUCUUAAAAAUCAACUUUGUUCCCAAGUUCAGCACUCCUGAGGAUGAAAAGCUAUACAGAUGCUUUCUCAAAGACAAGUAACAUCUUAGUGAAUAAACAUGCGAGGACUACCAUUGCUUCUUUGAAUGUUGUUCAUCCAAAGUGACCUUUGGAUUUUUUUGUUCUGGGAUUUUGUAAAGAUUAAGGCCCUGUAGAUAUUAUACACCCACCAGAUUAACUCUUGUAUGAUCUUAUGCACAGAAUGAGGAUGAAUACUUUUUUGCAAAGAAAA